GAGGGUGUAGCUCAGUAAUAGAGCUCUUGCCUUGCAUGCAAAAGGCCCUGGGUUCAGUGCUCAGCACUGCCU
rnacentral:tRNA from 1 species